AUAUGAAACGAUUAAAAAAAUAAAGGGGAUUUAUAGGAAUUAUAUUUUAUUUUAGAAAUCUUAAAGAUUUCUUCAAAAUAUAUACAAUUCUUAUGAAUCCUUUUUAUUUUGUACUUUUUUUAUAAAAAGUUAAUAAUAUCUAUAUAUUGUUACUUAAUUUAUAAAAAUUGUACGAAAAUUUGGUAUUGCAUAAUAUUUUUAUGCUUUACCAGAUUUUCAUCAACAAUAUUGAAUUCUCAAUAUUUUGCAUAUAAGUAUAUUUAUCAUUACAUAUUAUUAUUUCUAGUUAAUUAUAUUUUGAAGAAAAGAUACAUAUAAUAUAUAUUAUAUAUCGUAAUUCAUAAAUAUAAU
rnacentral:rRNA from 1 species